UCGAACCAUGCCCCCAUCUAUUUUUUUGGCCCGGCUUUAGCGACACACGUGUCGUUUGCCCCACUCCCACAUUUUUUUCCAUGACGUGUUCUGUUCCUGUAAAACCUUCUGCCACACAUCAAAAUCCACCGCCCCUUCUCACUUCUCCUUUUUCUUCUGAUUUUCCACAGACAAUGACACUUGAUCUUUGACCGGUGGUUUUGUUAUGAUGCUCGCAGCAACAUAAAUGAUGGUUUCGCAGCGGCGAUGACAACGACGGGAAGCAUCGAUGGCGGUUUUGGGGCACCGUCUACGGCGGCGGCGCAAAGGUGCAACUUUUGCAGAUGACUUUUUUUGUAUAAAGUGAUAUAUCGAUGUAGAUGGUUGUUGCAGGUCUAGAAAGGCAUCGUGAUUAUGUUAUAUUGUGAAAAACCUAGGGUUACAUUAUCAUUUUGAGCUGCAUAAAGGUUUUGGGUGAUAUUUAUUCUAUUUCCUCGAUGUGAAUUGAAGUUAUAAUUUCAUUAAGGAUUUGGAGAGUCAGCCGGCGCCUCGGGUGAUAGCAGCUUUCAAUAGUGAUUCCGGUAACGAUAGAAUUUCUACAGAAAGGGUGUGGGUUCGAGUCCUCUUUUGGCUUUUUUUAUCCCGUAUUUAUUUGUGCGACACGUGUUACGAUGAGAGAGAGAGAGGGCGGCACCGGCCGUUUUCCGGCAUCCGGUAGCCCAGGCGCCACCUCCGGCGAUGGCGGUUAGGGUUCCUUCAAAGUUUCGGUGAACCCUUUUCACUUUGGUUCAUCUGAGGAGUCACCAACGGUUAAGUAUUUAAUUCCAAUAUUUGUACUCUCUCUAUUGGACUUUUGUAGCUUUGUUUUUUUUUUUUCUUUGAUUACAGGUGAGAGUGGAAUCGAGAUGAUUAACAGGUUCGACGCGUCCAAGUUUCCGACCCGGUUUGGUGGGCAGAUACGUGGGUUUAAGGCUAAUGGGUGUAUUGAUGCUAAGAAUGACUGGAGACGUGAUGAUUGUUUGAGAUAUUGCAUUGUUGCUGGUAAAAAAGCCCUUGAAGAUGCUGAUCUUGCUGCUGAUAAACACUCCAAGGGCCUCAUCAAACUAGAUCCAGUAGAGGUUAAGAUGGAGUAUAUAAACUUCAAGAAGUUUGAUUUUGUUGAGGGCUAUUCAAAUCAUCCCUAUUUAAAAUCGAAAUCAUCAUGGUGCCACCAAAAAACUUGGCUAAAGAAAUUCAGAGGAAUGGAGGAUUCUUGCGAGGGAAGAUGAUGUAGUGGUGUGGCCAAACUCCAGUAGCGGCGCAACAUGAACAGGCCAUACCAAGGGUUCCCGGGUUAUCUGGCUGACUUCUGGUCAACUCAACACAUUUCAUUCGAAACUAUUAUUACCGGCCUGCUUACUGCUCUGCUUAAUUAAGCACCACGGUUCGGAUUUUGGCAGCUCCAGUGGGCAUCGAAUACCUAAUGUGUUCAGGCCUUCAUCAAAGCUCAAAGCUGGUCAACGUGACUAUUUGGAAGUCGGUGAGUAUUUGGGAAGGUAGUUUUAUACUUAGGCAUCUUAUAUUUUGCUAUAGGCUAUGAAAACGAUCAAGAUAAAGAUGGCAAAAAGAGAAGAGACACAUCCAAGUUCUAUGAUGAAGAUUGUGUAGAGUCGCCACUUGGUUAACGUAUUGAUUGAUGUAGCAGAGUUUCUUUUAAUUGUUCUUAAUAGGUAAAUUAAGUAGGAUUUCGUUUAAUUGUUCUUAAAAGGUAAAUUAAGAUGCCUCACGUUGGGUUCGUUGGAUUUCCU